UAUGAUGGUCUAUGGCAAAGAGUCAUUUCU
rnacentral:piRNA from 1 species